CCUACGGGAGGCUGCAGUGGGGAAUUUUGGACAAUGGGCGCAAGCCUGAUCCAGCAAUGCCGCGUGCAGGAUGAAGGCCUUCGGGUUGUAAACUGCCUUUGUACGGAACGAAACGGUGAGCUUUAAUACAGUUUGCUAAUGACGGUACCGUAAGAAUAAGCACCGGCUAACUACGUGCCAGCAGCCGCGGUAAUACGUAGGGUGCGAGCGUGCAUCGGGCGUACUGGGCGUGAUGCGUGCGCAGGCGGUUAAAUCCCCGGGCUCAACCUGGGACCUGCAUUUGUGACUGUAUAGCUAGAGUACGGUAGAGGGGGAUGGAAUUCCGCGUGUAGCAGUGAAAUGCGUAGAUAUGCGGAGGAACACCGAUGGCGAAGGCAAUCCCCUGGACCUGUACUGACGCUCAUGCACGAAAGCGUGGGGAGCAAACAGGAUUAGAUACCCUGGUAGUC
rnacentral:rRNA from 1 species